rnacentral:rRNA from 1 species
GAUGAACGCUGGCGGCGCGCCUAACACAUGCAAGUCGAACGGUUAAGCCACCUUCGGGUGUGUUUCACGUGUCGCGCACCUGAGUGAAACAUGUGCGAAAUCCGCCUCUCAUUUUGGUAGCAACUGAGAAAAGUGGGUCAUACACAGUACUUCAGGUCUUCCUCCUUGGAGGCUGUUGGAAAGUCCCGGCGGGUGGGGAUGGACUCGCGGCUUUUCAGCUUGUUGGUGGGGUAUUGGCUUACCAAGGCCUUGAUGGGUAGCCGGCCUGAGAGGGUGACCGGCCACAUUGGGACUGAGAUACGGCCCAGACUCCUACGGGAGGCAGCAGUGGGGAAUCUUGCACAAUGGGCGGAAGCCUGAUGCAGCAACGCCGCGUGCGGGAUGACGGCCUUCGGGUUGUAAACCGCUUUCGCCAGUGACGAAGCGAGAGUGACGGUACUGGGUAAAGAAGCCCCGGCUAACUACGUG